GAUGAACGCUGGCGGCGUGCCUAAUACAUGCAAGUCGAGCGAAUGGAUUAAGAGCUUGCUCUUAUGAAGUUAGCGGCGGACGGGUGAGUAACACGUGGGUAACCUGCCCAUAAGACUGGGAUAACUCCGGGAAACCGGGGCUAAUACCGGAUAACAUUUUGAACCGCAUGGUGCGAAAUUGAAAGGCGGCUUCGGCUGUCACUUAUGGAUGGACCCGCGUCGCAUUAGCUAGUUGGUGAGGUGACGGCUAACCAAGGCAACGAUGCGUAGCCGACCUGAGAGGGUGAUCGGCCACACUGGGACUGAGACACGGCCCAGACUCCUACGGGAGGCAGCAGUAGGGAAUCUUCCGCAAUGGACGAAAGUCUGACGGAGCAACGCCGCGUGAGUGAUGAAGGCUUUCGGGUCGUAAAACUCUGUUGUUAGGGAAGAACAAGUGCUAGUUGAAUAAGCUGGCACCUUGACGGUACCUAACCAGAAAGCCACGGCUAACUACGUGCCAGCCGCCGCGGUAA
rnacentral:rRNA from 1 species